GCUGUUCACUGCAGAGCAAGUAGCCUCCUGGGAACAUAAGGCUUGACACUGACUCCUCCCACUCCAUUGUUCAAAUCUGAGGCACCCUCUGAUGGGCUGGAGGGUUUGGAGGAAAAGACACAGAUAAGAGGAGCACACCAUGAAAGAUAUAAGCCUCCGGGUGAUGAUUGACUCCUGAUCAAUACAAAAGACUGAAUUUCCUGAGCAUCUGGAGGAAGAAGCCCAGGCUAGCCUACUGGGUGAGAAGGAACCACGAGAAGCAGAGAUGUGUUGUCCCAGCAUACCUCCCUGUUCCAUCAGGCUGCCACCAGCCAAACACAUGAAUAAGACCAUCCCAGAACAUGGAGCAGCGAGGUGACUCAUCAGCUGGUAACAGAUGCAUGGGAGAACCCAGCACAGAUCAGCUCAGCAGCCUCAGAAGAAUCACACAGCUGAGCCACUGAAUGAUGGGCUAAAUAAAAUGAUUCUACUUUAAGCCA